rnacentral:lncRNA from 10 species
UGCCACCAUGCCUGCCUCUGUUUUUUUUCCUUUUUUGGUGGAGAUGGGGUCUCACUACGUUGCUCAGGCUGGUAUCAAAAUCCUGGGCUCAAGCAAUCCUCCUGCCUUGGCGUUCCAGUGCUGAGAUUACAGCCAAAAGCAUACAAGAAGUUCAGAAAAGCCAUAAACAUAAGGAUAAAUUUGCAGAUUCCAUUGCACAACAAAUUCCGGAAAUGGCAAUACACUUCAAGUCUUUGUUUCUUCAGGAUGGAUUAUUGUAGCAGCUUUCAAAUGUCUCCACAGUUGAACAUUUUUCACUAAGAAAACCAUCACCGGGAAAUGUAUUAUACGUUUCUAUUAUACUUGGUUUUCAAGUUUUCUGCAAAAAUCAGGGAAAGCAGCUGAAUGACAGCAAGCAGGGACUUACUUAAACCAUUGUGUUCUGUCCAGCUCCUGGUAAAAUUGACUGAGGUGUCCAAACACUGCCUCUGAAACUUCUUCUGGCAAUUUAAGACUGGCACCUUGGAUCAUUUCAUCCAACACUUCUUCUUUGACUGUUGAUUCUCUUUUCUAUGUAACUGUCCAUUUUCUCCCUGACAAUCACCUUUUCUUCUGGUGGAGGUAACAGCCCCCUCUCCACAUUUCUCCGUGCUGAUCUGCAAGGAACGAUUUUAAAAAGCUUGGUGUACCUGUUCAAGGUGCAUUCUGACAGUCUGAAUAUAUUUUUGCCUGGUUGCAGAGGUUGCAGAGAAUGACAGAAUUGAAGUCAUUCAAGUUCCUUGUCUCUGCCUACAAUCACUCCCAUUGUCUACUUCUCAUCCACUGUUUGGAACAGACACGUGUAGCGGAGUGCUUGUGAAUUGACAGCCAAAUUAACUUCCAUGUGGAAUACAAUGUUUACUAAAGGAUAAACAGUAAAAAUGUGCUAAUUUAAGCGGAAGCUAUACUAUUAAACUCAACAGUAACCACAGCUGUUUAGAACUUAGACCAACAAAAGAUGAUUGGAGGAGGAGUACUGUGUCCCUAACAUUAUAUAGAAUUGCCAACACGUAGAGCCGUGCUUAGAUCGUUUUAUUAGUGUUGUUAAAUUCUCUGCAGACAAUGUCCCCCGUCAUUGCCUGCACCAGGGCAGACUGUCCACUGCCCUCCCUUGCUAUACCAUAGAUCUUAAUCUACUGCAGCCUUUAACCAGAAAAUUCAGUGGCCUCCCGUGCACAGCUUAGAUCUCCGGAACAUCCAACCCUUCUGACUAUCAUAAGAAUUCUUACUGAUUUCAUUAUUGACUGGAUUAAAUAGAUUUAAAAGACAGAAAUCUCACAGGUUUUUUCCUCCUGCUCAAGUGACAACCCCUUUCGCUAUGAAGGAACCCACCAAUAACACAUCCCUGUCAUCUCUCAAGCCCAGCUCUUGCUGGGGAAGAAGAGGGUUCUUUCUGGGGUCUCCCUCUGGCUCCCUGUGUACUCUUUUAUCCCUGGCAUCUGGGAAGCGGAGUCCUUGUUCCCUUUCAGCUACUAAUUAGCUUUGGGAUCCUGGCGAAAAUGACUUUUCCUUCUGCUUCCUCAUUAAAAACAAAACAAGGCCAGGCGUGGUGGCUCACUCCUGUAAUCCCAGCACUUUGGGAGGCUGAGGUGGGUGGAUCACCUGAGGUCAGGAGUUCGAGACUAGCCUGGCCAACAUGGUGAAACUCUCUACUAAAAAUACAAAAAAUUAGCCAGGCAUGGUGGCGGGC